rnacentral:lncRNA from 12 species
UUGGGGGGGGGGGCACCCGCUUAUUUGCAUAACAGUCCUUGCUCCCGUCCCCGGCGCUCCCGAAAAUGAGAUUGAGCAUCAGGUGGCAAAUCCCGUCGAUCAAACUCCAGCGCCUCGCUCAGCUCGGGAACCCGAGGAAACCCCUCUGCAACCAUCUCGACCAGAUCUGCAACCAGAUCGAGGUCAAUUCUCCUCCGGCGGCGGGAGAGUGGAGCCUCCACGGCAGGUCAGCAUUGACUCCUUGGGGACAGAGGAGAGGAGCUGAGUAAGUUGUCAUUUAGUUGCCUAAUGUUCUCGCCCAUCUCUGACUUAAUGCACCUGAAGAACAGUG